rnacentral:rRNA from 1 species
AGUGAACGCUGGCGGUAGGCCUAACACAUGCCAGUCGAACGGCAGCACAGUAAGAGCUUGCUCUUACAGGUGGCGAGUGGCGGACGGGUGAGGAAUACAUCGGAAUCUACUUUUUCGUGGGGGAUAACGCAGGGAAACUUACGCGAAUACCGCAUAUGACCUACGGGGGAAAGCAGGGGAUCUUCGGACCUUGCGCGAGUGUAGGAGCCGAUGUCGGAGUAGCUAGUUGGCGGGGUAAAGGCCCACCAAGGCGAGGAUCCGUAUGUCGUCUGAGAGGAUGAUCCGCGACACGGGAAGUGAGACACGGUCCAGACUCCUGCGGGAGGCCGCAGUGGGGAAUAUUGGGCAAUGGGCGCGAGCCUGAUACAGCCGUACCGAGUGGGUGAAGAAGGCCUUCGGGUUGUAAAGCCCUUUUGUUGGGAGAGAAAAGCAGCAGGUUAAUACCCCGCUGUUCUGACGGUACCCAAAGAAUAAGCACCGGCUAACUUCGUG